rnacentral:rRNA from 1 species
AUCAGGUCUGGUGUGAAAAUGCAGGGCCUAACUCUGCAAAUGCGCUGGAAACUGGUGGGCUUGAGUUCUUGAGGGGAAGCUGGAAUUCCAGGUGUAGGGGUGAAAUCUGUAGAUAUCUGGAAGAACACCGGUGGCGAAGGCGAGCUUCUAUCAGAGGACUGACGCUGAGGCGCGAAAGCGUGGGGAGCAAACAGGAUUAGAUACCCUGGUAGUCCACGCUGUAAACGAUGUGCACUAGGCGUGGGGCCCGUACGGGUUCUGUGCCGUAGUUAACGUGUUAAGUGAAUCACUAGUGCGGCCGCCUGCAGGUCGACCAUAUGGGAGAGCUCCCAACGCGUUGGAUGCAUAGCUUGAGUAUUCUAUAGUGUCACCUAAAUAGCUUGGCGUAAUCAUGGUCAUAGCUGUUUCCUGUGUGAAAUUGUUAUCCGCUCACAAUUCCACACAACAUACGAGCCGGAAGCAUAAAGUGUAAAGCCUGGGGUGCCUAAUGAGUGAGCUAACUCACAUUAAUUGCGUUGCGCUCACUGCCCGCUUUCCAGUCGGGAAACCUGUCGUGCCAGCUGCAUUAAUGAAUCGGCCAACGCGCG